GAUUCAAUUUCACCACUACCUACGAGCAUCCCAGCCUAGCUCUUAUGCAAAUCCAAUCCAAUAUAUCUGAUUCUGUUGUCUCUCACCAAUUGCACAUUCACUUGAAUUGGAGCUGACGUUCUACGAGACAAACGGACAUUACGAAGCACGGACGGCAACUUUGAAUCUUUCAUCCAGCUUCUCACUCUUGUCAUUCUGAAACCUCGACGAGACACAUCAGUGCCGCCUUUGGUCUUCCUCCCAUUGACACGAUCAGCGAUUGAAAGGGCAGGCAGCAAUGAUUCAUUUUUGGAAGAAGAAAGAAGGUGAACCAGAACCACUGAAUAGGUGAAGGCGGGAGCCGAAAGCCUUCUCGUUGAAUUUUUCUUUUUAUUUGUUAUUUUGAUUUGAUUUGUACCUAGAAUGAAGACAAGUCACGUAUUAGUUUUAUGAUUCUUAUAAAAUUCAUUUGUUGAAUUGUAAGUAGAAGAACUCAGUCUCAGAAGCUCCUUGAGCAGUGGAGCCUCAAGCCUGGAGUUAAUACCUAAUUGGAUGUCGUCCCUACCCUCCGAGGUGAACUUAAUUGGAUGUUUUACUCAGGUUAGAUAUAAGUUGAUAAUUUAAAAUCGUGUAUUAGUUAUAAGUUUUGUCAAUUGCAUUCUGCAUAUAGGUUGUGAUUUGUGAAUUUAAAUUGAAAGUUGUGUUAAGGCCGAGAGUAUUCUGCUUAAUUUUAGGCAUAGGCUGAUUUAGGAUUCACUUGCUUUUGCUUCCAGCUACCCUUCCCUUUUUUUUUUUUUUUUAGCUUUCAAUUACUUGAUAAUAGCGUUAUUGUACAAUAACAUCAAAGUAUGAAAACUUGCAAGAAGCAUGUUUGAUUAUAAACUGUCAUUUUUAGUGUUACCGCGGUUUGGUUUAUAGUUUUAUCACCACUAAAUUCAUGAUCAAAACUCAAUGUUCGACGUGGGUUAAAUUAUGCUUACACUGAACAAAUUUCCUGGCUCUAUCCGUGCUGGUGAGUCUCACAUCCCAUCAAUUGCAGUGGUAAAGUGCUACCAAUCUUUUGUCUUACUGGUUUUCUUGCUCUUUCUAAUCAUUCGAACUUGUUUCUGUGUUUUAUUCCAACUUGCUAACCUCUAAGGUUGUUAGCUCGAGGCAAUGGCCAUCAAUCUCUUGUUACCAAGCAUGUGUUCUCACCAUCUCCUAAGGUUGAAAUAAUUGAUUCUCUAUAUAAGCAUGUAUCAAACACUGUGGAUGAUGGCAUAAUUAGGUGAGUUUAUUGUCUUCAGACGGCACAAUUAAGCCAAUCCCUGGCUUGAGCAUUUCUUCCUUGUAACUAUUUGCUAUGAAAUUGUAGUACACACUACACAAAUUCGAUAGGAGAUACUUGCUGGUCUUUGUGUGAAGCGUCCAAUUCCAAGAUGUCUUAGGUACCUUGUAAAACAUUUCUUCCAAUCUUAGAGGCAACAGUGACAUUGUGCUGCAUUGCUUUACAGUGGGUUAGAAAAAAUAUGCAUAGGCUCAAUAUAGUUAUCGAAGAUACAUAUACUUUUAGCUGAUAAAUAAGUAUUACAUACAUUUGUUGAGCCUUUUGAACCUAUUAAAUAUUGAAAACGACUUUUUCAUGCACAAUAUUUUACUUUCCCUUUUAAAUCACGUCAUAUGUUGUGCCCAAAAACUUUUGCAGUUUAAUAUGGACACCAACUUAGGAUUCUUUUCUCGAAAUUCCAAAGAAACCCAGAACAUUGAGCCAAAAGGGAAUUUACGCUGGAUUACUAAGCUUUUGAUGGUGGAAUUAUAAUUGGGAAUGAAUGAGAAAUUGAUAAAAUGAAUAUUGAAAAGGUUUGUAAUCUUGAGAACAGAGGAAGAAACCCAUGACCUGCACAAUAACCUUGAGCAUGCUGUGGUAGAUGCUGAAAACUCUAAACAGAGAGCAUUCGAAGAAUCAGUGAGGUAGUGGAGAGCCUAAGAAGAUGUCUAGAUUUUUUUUCACAAAAUAUUUUGUUGUGUCCACUUCUCCUUCUGAGAAUCUAUUUUUUGUAGGGAGAAUGCAAUCUUUCCUUCAAUUAAAUAGUUGUGAAAGAUGAUGACAGGAAUUCGGUAAGUUUUUCUUUUGUUCUUAGUUUUGUAAAAUUUUCUAUAUAUAUAUAUUUUUAAAUUUCUAUGGUUUUUGGAUUUUGAUUUGAAGGGGCAUGACUACAUCAACAGCUUCAAGGGUUGUACCUUUGGCCAUCUGGUCUACCUUCUGCAAUCACCAUUUAACCCACUUCUUCAAUUGCACAGACUCUCUGGGAGUCACUUCCACAUGUUGUUUCUUUCAUCACUCCAUUAUUCCUCCACCAAGUCAACCUUCAAAGAGUUAUUUACGCGAGGCAUGGAGUCACGACAAGAUGAGGAGAAGCUUCAAUUUUUACACUUUUUGCUUGAUAGCUGUUAAUGAAUGCUUAGCAUGUAUUCGAUGAAAUGACUAUUAUUAUUUCCUUCGUUCCAUAGUUUAAGAAGGCUCCAAAGG
rnacentral:lncRNA from 1 species